CUGCAGGGUCUCCGAUUGAUUCCUUAUUUCACCUGAUUUAUAUUUUUUGAUUUAUGGCAUGGCAUGUUUUUCUUGAAAAAUGUUAAAGAUUUGGGAUUCAAGUUUUGAGAUUUCAUAUGGUUAUAUAUAUAUAUUUUUCUGAAAAGUGUUAAAGGUUUGAGAUUUGAGAUUUUUGCUUAUAUAUAUGUUUAUACAUAUGCUAUUUUCUGGGAAAGUAUACAGGUUUUUACGGUGAGGGGUUAGAAUUAUAAAUUUUUUAAAUGAAAAGUUUUCGAAAAACUUUGUUUUUACUGACCCACUCAAUUUUGUUUUGCGCCCCUCCAGGUUCAAGUUAGCAGAGCUUUGGUGGCCACGAGGAAUCCAACGGUGUUAUGACAGAAUUCACAAAAGUAGGACUCACCCUCGGGUGUGUCAUCUUAGUAAUUGGAAAUUUUUUUUUAAAGCUUCUGAACUAUGUAAAUGGUUACGUCACUCUCACGUGACGGCCAGCACGCCCUCCUUCGGGACGGGGUGUGUCAGUUGGUAUCAGAGCCUAGGUUGCAAUUCUGGACAUCUUGAGAAUUUCCUAGUGUCUUCUGUCAGAACUAUACCGCCUCAUAGCGAGCCACGUAGUUCGGAUGAGCCUAAAUUCCUGAUGAUAUAGUAGUUUGGGGGGAAAAAUUAUUGUCACUAUGAUUCAGUCUAUUAUCUAAAGGAACCUUUUGAGACUGAUUAUAAGUUAAAUUUGAAUACAGACUUGCCUUGUUUCCAUUCGGAUGUUGUUACUAAUCCGGUCGAGGUGUUAUGUCGUUUUUGGCGGGAUAAUAAGAAGAAGUGACGUUCUUUGGCGACCACAAUCCAUUGUACUUUUUACCAGGAGUUUACGAGAUGUUGUUGGGCUUUUGAGGACUUUGAGAAUAUGAUCAGCGAGAGUAAAGAAGAAUAAGAAAAGAAUGGUAAUUAGAGGAAAGGUGAGAAAGUUAAAGAUCCGUCAUAUCAAGGACGUCGAAAGACUCAGAGCUUCAAAAGAAGUGAAGUUAGAACUAAUUCUUCCAACUGAGGUUUUAGUGCCACUGGUCCGAGGCGAAGUGAUAGAUUUAACGGGUGAUCCCAGAUCUUAAAGACAAGGUGACUCGAGUAAGGGAAAUGUACCUUUGUGCCAUAGGUAUAAUAUUAGACACUUUGGAGAGUGUGGGAAUCAGUGAAUGUGUUCAUGUGGACGGAUGGGACAUAAGAGGUAUGAAUUUUGUCCCUGGAAUCAGUUGUUACCCAAUAGUCUUCCUUAACAUAUCACUUGGAAAUAUUGACGAGUAAGUCGUACAGGUCACUAUAUGUGACUCCGACUUAUGUGCUAGCAUGGAUGGUCGAGUUGUAGACUCAGUCGUACAGGUCAUUCUAGCUGACUCCGGCUGAUAUAUUUCUUAUUAUGGUCGAUGUUGCCAAAGAAAGUAAUGUUGGAGCACGAUCGAGGCGUAUUUAUGUAUUUCUAAGGAAGAACAAGAUGAUAAUAUUACACCCCUCAGGAAUUGUUACUUAGUUAUCGAGACAACAAUGAGUUAUUUGUAUUGCGGGCUGCAGACCGUAAUAUUUAUAACUUAUUUGUUGGAUUCGUUAAGUAAGUAAACAAGUAAGGCACUUUAUGUUGAUUUGGUUUAUUAAGGGUGUCCAGUGAUGGUGAAAAAUGUCAUGUCAGUGAAUUUUAUUCCGUUGGAUAUUAUAGAUUUUGAGGUGAUUAUUUUUUGCACCAGUGGGUGCAGUAUAAUUGUGUCAAGCUAGAUUGCUAUGGGGAAUCAGUUAAUUUUUGUUGACCUGGAUGACCAGAGGUUACUUUUGGGGGUAAGUAAAGUGGAGUGAGUUAUGCCAUUAUUCAUGUUGAGAGAGCAAAGAAGAUUGUUAUCAAAAGGCUGCCAAGAUAUUGAGUUCAUAUGGUGCUAAAUGAUGUUGAUCCUAAUAGUAUGAAAGAUGUAAAGAUGGUUAGACAUUUUCUUGGUGUAUUCCCAGAUGACUUACCUAGAUUGCCGCCAGGCAGAGAUGUGGGUUCCAUUAUUGAAUUGUUUUUAGGUACAAAUCCUAUGUUAGAAAUUGGUUCAGGUUGAGUUAAAAGUUCCAUUCAACUUAUUAUAUCACAUUGGAAAAGCUCCGGUUUAUUUGUGAGGAAGAAAGUGGACAUUAAGGCUAGGCAUUGAUAUUAGGUAAUUGAAUCGGGUAACGAUUGAGAGCUGUUAUCCAUUGUUGUGUAUUGAUGAUUAUUUGAUCAGCUCUGAGGCGCCUGGGUACUUUCUGAGAUUGACUUGAGGUCUGAAUGAUAUUAGUUGAAGAUUAACAGUGGGGAUGUCCAUAAGACUGAAUCCAGGACUCGUUAUGGUCAUUUCAAGUUGGGAUGCCAUACAGAGUGACGAAUGCACCUGCUACUUUUAUGAGCUUACUGAAGGAAGUAUUCCAGUGAUAUCUAGAUCGAUUUGUUGUUGUUGCCAUUGACGAGAUUGAUAAGAUUAGAGCAGUGCAUGCUAGAUAUUUAAAGUUGGUGUUGCAAAGAUUGAAGGAACGUUGAUGUAUGCUAAGUUUAGCAAAUGCUAAUGUUGGAUAAAUUAAUUAUAUCUACUUAAGGUAUUCAAGUGGAUUCUUAAAAGAGUAGCAACGAUUGAGAAUUUGGAACAAUUGCGAACCGUGACUGAGGUUCAGAGUUUUCUCGGAUUAGCAGGAUAUUGUCGAUAGUUCGUCCAAGAUUUUAAUUAUUGCUUCGCCCUUGGCGAGAUUGAUGAGAAAAGAGGUUAGUUUGAGUGGGAUGAAAAAUUGUGAGUAGAGCUUCAGCAAGUAAAGUAUUCCCUCACUCAUGCAUCUGUUUUCGCACUCCCAAACGAUAGUGGUAAUUACGUGGUCUAUAGUAAUACUUCUUUGAAUGUUCUUGAAUGCGCGUUGAUGCAGCAUGGUAGGAUGAUUGCCUAUGCUUCAUGGCCAUUGGGAUCUCAUAAGAUGAAUUACCCUAAUUAUAAUUUGGAAUUAGCAGCUAUCAUCUUUGCUUUGAGAAUUUGGAGACAUUGUCUUUAUGGGAAGAAAAGUGCAUGAUUGUUACAAAUCAAAAGAGUACCCAAUAUCUGUUUAUUCAGAGGUAUCUUAAUCUUAGGCAACAAAGGUGGAAUGAGUUGCUUAGUGAUUAUGAUUGUGUGACGAGGGUGGUCAAGCUAAUGUUGUGGCUGAUGCAUUUAGUAGGAAGACCCCAGUGAGAAUUAAUGCUUGGUAUGCUUGCUAUGUUCAUCUUCUUGUGGAUUUGAAAUCUACUGGAGUAAAGUUGAGUAUCAAAAAUCGAGAAGAAGCCUUACUUGCUAAUUUCUAAGUUGGACCCAUUUGGUAGAUCGUACUCGAUACUCAAGCGUUUGACGAAGAAAUUCAAGAAUUUAUUUAAAGUAAGGAAUAACGGGAUAAAGAAGGACCUUAGAGUUAGAGAAUCAGAUGGCAAGCUUAUGCAAGGGAACAAAGUGUUUAUGCCUAAUGGUGUGGAAUUAAAUAAAGCAAUUUUGACGAUGUACAUUAUUCCACUUCUACAAUGCAUCCCAAAAGUACUAAGAUUUAUCAUACCAUUCGUUCAUGUACUAUUGACGGGUAUGAAAAGAGGAAUGGCGAAGUAUGUUAGUAGGCGUAUCAUCAGUCAUCAGGUUAAAGCAGAAAGAAAUAAGUCUUUUGGAAUAAUGUAGUCAUUUCUCAUUCCACGGCGGAAAUGGGAGAAUAUUACUAUGGAUUUCAUGGACAAGCUUCCUCGUAUACCAAAUAGUUAGGUUGGAGUUUGAAUAAUAAUUGAUUGACUUGUGACGUCAGCGCAUGUUACUUCAGUAUGAGAACAUCAACCUUUCCAGAUAAGCGCAACAGUUAUUUAUUUGUUUUAUGGAAAAAGGAGAUUGGGAUCUGUUAAACUUCUUGGGUAUGUUGGUUCCUUCAGUUUGUUCCCUAGAGUAACGCCAUAAGGCCGUGGAAAGCUAUGUCUUGUGUUUCGAAAUUGUUAGAAUUGGGGACGGAUGAUAUUCAAGACUCUGAGUUUGGUGAAAAUUUAUGGAGGAAUCUUUCAGUGGAAGAAACUACUUGAAAGUCAAAGAAUCGAAUGAGAGAGAUGUGUUUCGGGCUGUUUCAUGGAUAUUGAUGGAUUGUAAAGAUUGUGUAAAUUUCGAGGACGAAAUUUCUGUAAGGUGGGUAGAUUGUGACAGCCCGUCCCUAAUUUUAAGAAUUUUUAAAGUUUUAAUAAAGGAUUUUACAAAAAUGCCCUUCGAGGCACGCACAUCAUUCGAGGUUAAUCGUUGUGUCGUGCCAUCUAAGAUUUGUUUUCUUGACAUAUCCUCGUCGUUACGGACGUGUGGGCGCAGACGGUUCGUGAUUUGGAGUUAUAUCGAAGAAGUUAUUAACGUUUGAAAUUUGGAAUUUUAAGGAAUUAUAACUUUAGUAAAAUAUAGAAUUCUUUUAUGAAAUUGGACGGCCCAGAUUUAUUGAUGAAUGAAAUGGAUGGCUGGGAUGAGGGAAAGGUUUUUGGUGUGUGUAUGUGUAUGAGAAGAAGAAACAGAAAACAGAAAAGAAGAAGAGACUGGGCAGAAAUGCCCAAUCGGAGAAGAAGAAGGUGAGAGCAAACCAGAAGAAGGGAGAGGAAGAAGCUGACCAAUCAGGGGACGGAAAGGAGGGAAAGGAGGGAGAGUGGUGCGCGGGGGAACAGGAGGAAUGGGUCACCCUUGACCCGCGCGACCCAAGCUUCCAAAUCGGCGGGUUUUCGCCAUUUCCGUCCAAAUUUCCGACGAAUUGAGUCAAGGUACCACUCCUAAUCAUCAUCUAGGCCUUCCCUCUUUACGUUUCACCCCAAGAAUCAUUGAAUUUCGUUGUGAUUUCGCGAAGAACACCCCUACGGGUGCCGCGACCCUUUUGUUUAAAUUCUCCAAAUUUUGAAAUGUUUUCUUUCAAUUACUAACACCUUUAGCAUUCCUUUAGGACCUAGAACAAAGCCCAAGAGGUAAUUGAGGCGUUGGAACAAGUUUGAAGGUCGAAUUGGAAACACCCAAAUUCUAGGGUUCUUCACGGUUUUGGUGAAAUUGAAGCACUUCCAGGCCAAAUUGGCCUUGGUCUCAGGUAUGAAAGUUGUUCUACUCAUUGAGAUCUUCAAAUCUGCAAAUUUUUGGUAAUUUUUGGAAAUAGUUGAAUUUUCCGGCGAGCCGGGGGCGGCCAACCGCCACCCGCGGCGGCCCGCGCGGCGGCGCGUGGCCAAUGGCCGCCAAUGUCAUUAUUAGCUUGUGAUUAAAGGUUCUAGGUUUCUGUUUUGAUAAUUGAUGGACGUAAAUUGAAUAAUUGAACCUAAGUUGGUUACGAUUCGGGGUUAGGUGAAAAUGUGAAUUGACGAUCCGACCGUUGGAUCGUCAUCAAACUUUGAUACGUUGUAAUACGUAAUAUUUGAGGAUUAUAGGAACUUACGGAUUGGGAAUCCGAUUUACGGAUAUUCCGGAAUUGGAAUUGUAAGUUCAUAAAAUAGAAUGUUAACCGUCACUUAGUUUUGGAAAUUGACGGAGAUCCGACCGUUGGAUGGUAACGAAAUUUUAGGAUGUUGUCCUAGAGGUAUAUUGUGGACCUCUGGAAGUUUCGGAUUUGAAAUCUGAAUUGCAGAUCAUCCGGAUCGAACUACGUAGUGACGUGUCUUCUAUAAGUUAUGUAUUCUAUCGGCAGGAUUUCUGAGGUUGGGUUUGAUUAUUGUUCUAGGUGCUAAUCUUCAUGACGCCUUGAUGUGUGGUGCGAGGGAGUUGUUGAGCGAACUCCAGGUGAGUGGGCAGUUUUGUUUUCGUAUUACCUUUAUACUAUAAAUUUUUCCCAGAAGAUGAAUUUAUACGAAAUUAUGUUGAAAAUGCCAUGCAUAGAAUUAUUUGGAAAAUGUGAAUUUCAUAUGAGUUAUAUGAUUGAUAUAUGAUGCAUACAUGUUGCAUGGUGCUGUGGAGGCACAGGUAAGUCAGGUGAGUUCAUUAUUCAUUUAAUUGAUUGUUGAUAAGAUGUUUCAAGCUCAUAACCUGCACCCUAGGUGUUAGUGCUUAUUUUAUUCACCACACCGCACGCUCGCCUUGGAUCCAAGUAGGUGGAUGUCGUACAGACCAUGUGAGGGUUCCGACAUGCUAGUCGUAUAGAUCACUAGGCGUGAUUCCGACUAGUGGGUGAUCUUAGUUAUGCGCGCUGAUGAUAUGAUGAGAGAAGCACUAGAGCGUAUUUUUACACCUUUCAUCGUACAGACUACCUUACGUAGUUCCGAGUGAUGUGCAGAGUAGGGCCGUAUAGGUCACUGUGGUGACUCCGGCUUAGUGAGAUAUUGAGCUAUUGAAUUAAUCGUAUAGGACCAACUGCAGGGUCUCCGAUUGAUUCCUUAUUUCACCUGAUUUAUAUUUUGAUUUAUGGCAUGGCAUGUUUUUCUUGAAAAAUGUUAAAGAUUUGGGAUUCAAGUUUUGAGAUUUCAUAUGGUUAUAUAUAUAUAUUUUUCUGAAAAGUGUUAAAGGUUUGAGAUUUGAGAUUUUUGCUUAUAUAUAUGUUUAUACAUAUGCUAUUUUCUGGGAAAGUAUACAGGUUUUACGGUGAGGGGUUAGAAAUAUUUUAAAUGAAAAGUUUUCGAAAAACUUUGUUUUACUGACCCACUCAAUUUUGUUUUGCGCCCCUCCAGGUUCAAGUUAGCAGAGCUUUGGUGGCCACGAGGAAUCCAACGGUGUUCUGACAGAAUUCACAAAAGUAGGAC
rnacentral:lncRNA from 1 species